CAGUCGCUGUCAAAGUUUCACCUUCAGCUCAGAAGCCUGAAGUUCCUCAAACACUUUUUCCAUCGUCCAGCUGAGAGAAACAGAGACAUCAGGUACUCUCUGGGCAGCGUCUCUACUUCCUGGUGAGCCAUUCCUGACGACAUGAGCUCCUUUUCAACCACUCUGGAGGAACUCACUGCACCCCCUUAAACAUAAAGAGUCAGGCUGUCUGCACUUUUCUCAGAUUUGGAAAUAACGCACGGACAGUGGCGGAGGAGGGGAUGCCGGCGUAAAUAAAAACAUGAGGCUUCUCGCCACAGUCUGCAUGUGCCAUCCUCCAGCAGCAGGCCUUCCAGAUUCCUCUCUGCGGGUUUCCUUCGACAGGCUGCAGCUCCAAACUGCCUGCAGAGACGGAGACGAGGAAACUCACCGACGAGCUCACAGACCGAAACAAGAAGACACACUCAGGUCACACGCUGGACCUGCAGCUGGAGGAAGCAGCAGGAAGAUGUUUGUUACCUGACUCUGACGGAUGACGGCGUCCCGCUGGAACAGCUGCUCCAC